rnacentral:rRNA from 1 species
UGGGGAAUAUUGCACAAUGGGGGAACCGUGCAUGCAGCGACGCCGCGUGAAGGAUGAAGUAUUUCGGUAUGUAAACUUCUAUCAGCAGGGAAGAAAAUGACGGUACCUGACUAAGAAGCCCCGGCUAACUACGUGCCAGCAGCCGCGGUAAUACGUAGGGGCAAGCGUUAUCCGGAUUUACUGGGUGUAAAGGGAGCGUAGACGGUAUGGCAAGUCUGAUGUGAAAACCCGGGGCUCAACCCGGACGUGCAUUGGAAACUGCCGGACUAGAGUGCCGGAGAGGCAAGUGGAAUUCCUAGUGUAGCGGUGAAAUGCGUAGAUAUUAGGAGGAACACCAGUGGCGAAGGCGGCUUGCUGGACGGUAACUGACGUUGAGGCUCGAAAGCGUGGGGAGCAAACAGGAUUAGAUACCC